UGACAAGUCCAAUGUGCCAAUGGUGGGU
rnacentral:piRNA from 1 species